AGUGGCGAACGGGUGAGUAACACGUGAGCAACCUGCCCCUGACUCUGGGAUAAGCGCUGGAAACGGCGUCUAAUACUGGAUAUGUGACGUGACCGCAUGGUCUGCGUCUGGAAAGAAUUUCGGUUGGGGAUGGGCUCGCGGCCUAUCAGCUUGUUGGUGAGGUAAUGGCUCACCAAGGCGUCGACGGGUAGCCGGCCUGAGAGGGUGACCGGCCACACUGGGACUGAGACACGGCCCAGACUCCUACGGGAGGCAGCAGUGGGGAAUAUUGCACAAUGGGCGCAAGCCUGAUGCAGCAACGCCGCGUGAGGGACGACGGCCUUCGGGUUGUAAACCUCUUUUAGCAGGGAAGAAGCGAAAGUGACGGUACCUGCAGAAAAAGCGCCGGCUAACUACGUGCCAGCAGCCGCGGUAAUACGUAGGGCGCAAGCGUUAUCCGGAAUUAUUGGGCGUAAAGAGCUCGUAGGCGGUUUGUCGCGUCUGCUGUGAAAUCCGGAGGCUCAACCUCCGGCCUGCAGUGGGUACGGGCAGACUAGAGUGCGGUAGGGGAGAUUGGAAUUCCUGGUGUAGCGGUGGAAUGCGCAGAUAUCAGGAGGAACACCGAUGGCGAAGGCAGAUCUCUGGGCCGUAACUGACGCUGAGGAGCGAAAGGGUGGGGAGCAAACAGGCUUAGAUACCCUGGUAGUCCACCCCGUAAACGUUGGGAACUAGUUGUGGGGUCCAUUCCACGGAUUCCGUGACGCAGCUAACGCAUUAAGUUCCCCGCCUGGGGAGUACGGCCGCAAGGCUAAAACUCAAAGGAAUUGACGGGGACCCGCACAAGCGGCGGAGCAUGCGGAUUAAUUCGAUGCAACGCGAAGAACCUUACCAAGGCUUGACAUAUACGAGAACGGGCCAGAAAUGGUCAACUCUUUGGACACUCGUAAACAGGUGGUGCAUGGUUGUCGUCAGCUCGUGUCGUGAGAUGUUGGGUUAAGUCCCGCAACGAGCGCAACCCUCGUUCUAUGUUGCCAGCACGUAAUGGUGGGAACUCAUGGGAUACUGCCGGGGUCAACUCGGAGGAAGGUGGGGAUGACGUCAAAUCAUCAUGCCCCUUAUGUCUUGGGCUUCACGCAUGCUACAAUGGCCGGUACAAAGGGCUGCAAUACCGCGAGGUGGAGCGAAUCCCAAAAAGCCGGUCCCAGUUCGGAUUGAGGUCUGCAACUCGACCUCAUGAAGUCGGAGUCGCUAGUAAUCGCAGAUCAGCAACGCUGCGGUGAAUACGUUCCCGGGUCUUGUACACACCGCCCGUCAAGUCAUGAAAGUCGGUAACACCUGAAGCCGGUG
rnacentral:rRNA from 1 species